rnacentral:rRNA from 1 species
CCCUUAGAUGUUCUGGGCUGCACGCGCGCUACACUGAAGCUAUCAACACGUUUUCCCUCCCUGAGAAGGGCGGGUAACCUUUUGAAUCAGCUUCGUGGUAGGGAUCGGGGCUUGCAAUUGUUCCCCGUGAACCAGGAAUUCCUAGUAGACGCGAGUCAUAAGCUCGCAUCGAUUAAGUCCCUGCCCUUUGUACACACCGCCCUUCGCUACUACCGAUUGAACGUUUUAGUGAGGCAUUUGGACCGACGCAUCUCAGUUUAACCGCUGGUUUGUGUUGGAAAGACUUCCAAACUUGAGCGUUUAGAGGAAGUAAAAGUCGUAACA